UGAUCAUUAACUAUGUCAUAUAUGCUUCAUUUUAAAAAUAGAAGCAAUAUGUACACCAUGAAAAUAAAUCUCAUAUUGACAGUAGCAUUACUAGUUUUUAUUGCAGUGCAUGCUAAUAGGAUACAGAUUCAGCAAAGUGUGAUCAAACUUCAUCCUAGUAACGAAGAUUUUGAUAUCAAAGGUUGCACUAUAAGUAGCGAGAAGCUUCUAUUCACUGACAAAAGAAACAAAAGGAUAAUAAUACACAAUGGAGCCGGUACUCAUAUCGAGGACAUUUCACUUUCUAGUGAACCAUUCGAUAUCGUUGCUUUAGAUGUUGACAGUGUUGCUGUUUCGUUUGGUAGAAAUAGAUAUAUUGAAAAAAUCAAUAUCAAUACAAAAGCAGUCACCAAAAUACACUUGGGCGGAAAUUGCUGGGGACUUUCAUAUGACGGUGAAUAUUUGUACGCGGUCAUCGACGGUUAUGGUAUUUAUGUUGCGGUAGUUACGCUAGCAGGAGAACUUAUUAAAAGAAUUCCCGUAAGUAGCGAAUUUGACCAAACUGAAUAUAUUACAACGCACGAAACGAAUGUCUACUUCUCAGUAUUUAUUCCCAAGAACAUUGUAAGCAUGAACUUGAAUGGUAGUGUUCAAUGGCAGUUUCAGAAAAACAUUUUCAAUCAGCCAAGGGGAGUAACCUCUGAUAUCCAUGGAAAUAUUUUUGUCACUGGAUUUUCGUCACACAAUGUGGUUGUUGUUGAGAACAAUGGUCGUGAGUGUAGUGAAUUACUAAAUAAGGGAAGUGGAAUACACUAUCCGACAUCAAUUUACUUUGAUAGGACAAAAGAAAGGUUGCUAGUUAGUAAUUUAAACGACGGAUUUGCCUAUCUUUAUAACAUCGUGUAUAAUUGACGUUUUGGUUUAGUGCUGAAGGAAAUUUUAUAUUAUACAAAUGUUAUCAUCAUGUCGUAUCCAAAGAUAAUUUUUAAAGAAAGCAAUACACGAAAUAACAAAAUUAUAUGGCAAGUAAUGUAAUGCAUUAGUUCAA